rnacentral:rRNA from 1 species
GACGAACGCUGGCGGCGUGCUUAACACAUGCAAGUCGAACGGAAAGGCCCUGCUUUUGUGGGGUGCUCGAGUGGCGAACGGGUGAGUAACACGUGAGUAACCUGCCCUUGACUUUGGGAUAACUUCAGGAAACUGGGGCUAAUACCGGAUAGGAGCUCCUACUGCAUGGUGGGGGUUGGAAAGUUUCGGCGGUUGGGGAUGGACUCGCGGCUUAUCAGCUUGUUGGUGGGGUAGUGGCUUACCAAGGCUUUGACGGGUAGCCGGCCUGGGAGGGUGACCGGCCACCUUGGGACUGCGGUACGGCCCAGACUCCUACGGGAGGCAGCAGUGGGGAAUAUUGCCCAAUGGGCGGAAGCCUGAUGCAGCAACGCCGCGUGCGGGAUGACGGCCUUCGGGUUGUAAACCGCUUUCGCCUGUGACGAAGCGUGAGUGACGGUAAUGGGUAAAGAAGCACCGGCUAACUACGUG